UGCUGCCCUGCUCAAAGGCCUGCAGUGAGCCAUGCCAAUGUGGUUUGGCUGGACUGUGAGUGUUUGAUGCAGUCUGAUGUGAGGGUGGGGGUGGCGCAGAGAACAUUGAAAUCAAAAAGGAUUCUGCUCUGUAGAGACAAAGGAGCCACAGAGACAUAGACGUGGAUCUGGGAAAUAUACCUUUUGCUACUCGUUCAAUUUUAGAAAGGGGGUUUCUGGCAUGGCUGAGCAAAACUUAAACUUCUUCCCCUGAGAAUUACAGGAAUUACAGGACCUGACAAAGCUAUAAAGAUUGAAACCUAUAGGAAGAAAAUCUGAACCAGAAACAAUACGGCAGACUUGGGAUCUGACUCACAGAGGGAAGAACUUAUCAUUCUUCACGGGGCACAUGGAAGCAUGAGAAUUUGGGUUCAAGCAAGAGAAACAUUUUGCACUGUGCUAGGGGAUUCUACCCACAUAAGCUGGCAUGUUACUUGCCAGAUGAAAGAGCAACGAAUGGAGUACUUCAGUAAGUAUCCCUUCAAACAGCUUAUCUGUUAAUGAGUAGCAAUAAGAAUGAAAGUUAGAGUUCUCAAGAUUCUCCCACAUUAUCUCACUUUAUCCUCAUAAAAACCCUAAAAGGUAAGUCAUCAUUCUAAUUUAAUAGAAGGAAAAAACUAAGAUUUAAAAAGAAUUAGCUUUUUUCCUGUGUUUACCUAAGUCAUAAAUGACAGAGAUGGA
rnacentral:lncRNA from 1 species